rnacentral:rRNA from 1 species
UACGUAGGUGGCAAGCGUUGUCCGGAUUUACUGGGCGUAAAGAGCGCGCAGGCGGUCGUUCAAGUCGCGUGUGAAAGCCCCCGGCUCAACUGGGGAGGGUCACGCGAUACUGAUCGACUCGAAGGCAGGAGAGGGAAGUGGAAUUCCCGGUGUAGCGGUGAAAUGCGUAGAUAUCGGAAGGAACACCAGUGGCGAAGGCGGCUUCCUGGACUAAUACUGACGCUGAGGUGCGAAAGCGUGGGGAGCAAACAGG